rnacentral:rRNA from 1 species
CCUACGGGUGGCAGCAGUGGGGAAUAUUGGUCAAUGGGCGCACGCCUGACCCAGCAACGCCGCGUGAAGGAAGAAGGCUUUCGGGUUGGAAACUUCUUUUGUCAGGGAAGAGUAGAAGACGGUACCUGACGAAUAAGCCACGGCUAACUACGUGCCAGGCGCCGCGGUCAUACGUAGGUGGCAAGCGUUGUCCGGAUUUACUGGGUGUAAAGGGCGUGUAGCCGGGUUGACAAGUCAGAUGUGAAAUCCUGCGGCUUAACCGCAGCACUGCAGUUGAAACUGUUGAUCUUGAGUACUGGAGAGGCAGACGGAAUGCGUAGUGUAGCGGUGAAAUGCGUAGAUAUUAGGAGGAACACCAGUGGCGAAGGCGGUAUGCUGGACAGCAACUGACGGUGAGGCGCGAAAGCGUGGGGAGCAAACAGGAUUAGAUACCCGGGUAGUC